UUUCUUUUGCUGUCAUCAAACUUGUCAAAAGAGUACUGGAACAAAAGGCUUGAGGGGAGAAGGUAUUAAAAGAAUACACAAUGAGAGGAGAGAUGAAGGACCAAACACGCUGUGAUCUCGUCAACAUUGUUGUUGCUGAUAUCCUGGAAAAGUAUGGCAGGUGGUUGGAGAGAGAAGUGACUAAAGAGCAGCAGUUGGACGGAGACCAGUGUCACAAGGCCAUAUCUCUACCGAAACACAGCAUAGACAACAAACAGAUCUUCACGAAAAUGAGAGCAACUUUCCAGCACAGACUGAGCAAUGAAGCACAGUGCUUAAGAGUAUUCCUGAGGUUCCUUGACACAAAAGGCCUGGUGUUGCAAGACUUAGACCUGUUAGACCUGGAGCUGAGACUUCAUCAAAACUCCUUGAGAAAUGGGGAACACUCCUGAAGGCCAAUGUAAUAAAGCAAGCCAAAAACCUCAGCAAGACGCCCCUGCUUGACUACCUCAUCCAGUCUGCAGAGGAGACACCUGAUGAGGAUGACAAGGUCCCAGGUUGGGAUAGUGACAUGGCCUCACUGCUACUGCUGCUCUACCUCCUGCCACCACCACCAAAUGGAAAGAAGGCAGCUGUGAAGAUCAGUGUCCGUUAUGUCGCAGCCUUCAGGAGCACUCUGGUCCAGACCAGCGGAGGCAGCCCUACAUCCUGGCAGUUGGGACAACAAGAAACAGCAUCCAUGAGUAAUACAUCAUGUUGGAUGGUGAGCUCCUUCCCUGCAAGGCCAAGUCUUCCCUGUUAGCCUUUGAUGAACUUUUCAAAUCACAUUAUGUGUUUGGCAUUUCCUAUGACCAGGCCUUAAACAGCAUGUACACAUUUGUGCAGACCACCAUCUACAACACUGAUAUAGGUCUUUCUCAGGAAACUCCCAGAGUCGAGGACCUUGGGGCUAAGCUCCUCAACUGAAGAGUUAUGAUGUUUAGAUGGUUUGUUUGCAAGUCCACUUUUGAUUCAACAGUUGGUUCAUAUCAAGCUUUCAGAUGCCUUUUAUCCUGGUAAGAAGUUGAUGUGUGACCGGAAUGGAUGCCUCCAGAGAUUUUUCACUUUUUCAGGCUUCAGGAAACAUCUCAUAGCAAACAUAGUGCUAAAAGUCUAGAUUAAAUUGAUAAUGAACCUGUCACUCCUUCAGGUGAUGUAUCUGAUCAGCAAACAGUGUCAGCUUUAAUUCCAGAGAAACCAGAGAAUUCUCAAACUUUACUGAGGCCAGGCAACAUACCCAAGAAAUGUGUGCAUCCUUUAUUGCAAAACUACAAGGCUGUGGUGUGGCUAUUAAUGUCAUAAAGACUAUUGUUGAAAAUAUAGAGGAGCUUGUAGAGGAAAUGCAUUCAAAUGUCAAAGAAGAUGUUGUAAAAUGACUCCCUGACAAUGAGGACAUGAGAACAAAAUUUGAUGAUUAUUUUGACAGCCUUGAAAAUCCAUUUAGCAAACGUAACACUGAUAUGAAUUGGAAAAAAAAAUUGUACAUUCCUCCAUUGGAAACUUUGAAGUUCAUAUUCACCAACCAAGAGAUCUUAUUAUUGUCCUUUUGUUGUAACAGGAUUUUGGACUGUUUGUUGUGUAGUGGAAGCUUCUUUUCAUUAACCACAACGGGUGUCUUUCAAACCGAGGAUAUUUAUUCUCCUCCAACAUACUGCAGUUUACAAAACGGGGGAACAAUGGAGCUCGCGCCCAACAUCUUGAGCGUACACCUUUUUCCACUCUAAAACUAGCGACAACAAAAGGCCAGAUAAUUUCCUGGAAACCUUCAAAAUAAAAGUGUUUCCUUUUAACUGGAAACCAAGCAUCCACAAUGUAUUCUCCAUAUAAACACUGAAUAAUUACCAUUUCCAGGUUUAUCCUGAUGUGUACAUUUUACUGUAAAUGCUAUAACUGUAAAUAAAUGUAAAUACUGUAAA